rnacentral:rRNA from 1 species
GAUGAACGCUGGCGGCGUGCUUAACACAUGCAAGUCGAACGAUGAAUCUGGAGCUUGCUCUGGUGGAUUAGUGGCGAACGGGUGAGUAACACGUGAGCAACCUGCCCCUGACUCUGGGAUAACAGCCGGAAACGGCUGCUAAUACCGGAAAUGCACCAUGAACGCAUGUUCUGUGGUGGGAAAGAUUUUUCGGUUGGGGAUGGGCUCGCGGCCUAUGGGCUUGUUGGUGAGGUAAUGGCACACCAAGGCGUCGACGCGUGGCCGGCCUGAUAGGGUGACCGGCCACACUGGGACUGGGACACGGCCCAGCCUCCUCCGCGAGGCAGCGGUGGAGAAGAGUGCACAAGGGGCGAAAGCCUGAUGCAGCACCGCCGCGUGGGGUAUGACGGCCAUCGGGUUGUAUUCCUCUUUUAGCAUGGAAGAAGCGAGAGUGACGGUACCUGCAGAAAAAGCGCCGGCUAACUACGUG